GACAGAGGUCCCGAGCGUUAGGCGGAAUCACUGGGCUUAAAGCGUGUGUAGGCGGAUUGGUAAGUACCUUGUGAAAUCCCACGGCUUAACCGUGGAACUGCUUGGUAUACUGCUUAUCUUGGGCCACUUAGGGGCUACCGGAACAAACGGUGGAGCGGUGAAAUGCGUAGAUAUCGAGAGGAACACCUGCGGCGAAGGCGGGUUGCUGGGCUGAUACUGACGCUGAGGCGCGAAAGCCAGGGGAGCGAACGGG
rnacentral:rRNA from 1 species